AACUGUUUUCAAAACAAAACUGAUACUAAUAAGAAAUGUUGCUUAAGCACCUAAUCAGCAUGUUAUAAUGAUUUCUCAAGCAUCAUGCUUCUGAAAAUUCAAC